rnacentral:rRNA from 1 species
UGGGGAAUUGUUCGCAAUGGGCGCAAGCCUGACGACGCAACGCCGCGUGGAGGAUGAAGGUCUUCGGAUCGUAAACUCCUGUUGCCCGGGACGAAUAGCUUCGACCUAACACGUCGGAGUAUGACGGUACCGGGUGAGGAAGCCCCGGCUAACUCUGUGCCAGCAGCCGCGGUAAUACAGAGGGGGCAAGCGUUGUUCGGAAUUACUGGGCGUAAAGGGCGCGUAGGCGGCCUGUUAAGUCGAACGUGAAAUCCCUGGGCUCAACCCAGGAACUGCGUCCGAUACUGGCUGGCUUGAAUCCGGGAGAGGGAUGCGGAAUUCCAGGUGUAGCGGUGAAAUGCGUAGAUAUCUGGAGGAACACCGGUGGCGAAGGCGGCAUCCUGGACCGGUAUUGACGCUGAGGCGCGAAAGCCAGGGGAGCAAACAGGAUUAGAUACCCAGGUAGUCCCUGAGCGGGCUGGCAAGGCGCAU